GACGAACGCUGGCGGCGUGCCUAAUACAUGCAAGUUGAGCGAUGAAGAUUGGUGCUUGCACCCAUUUGAAGAGCAGCGAACGGGUGAGUAACGCGUGGGGAAUCUGCCUUUGAGCGGGGGACAACAUUUGGAAACGAAUGCUAAUACCGCAUAACAACUUUAAACAUAAGUUUUAAGUUUGAAAGAUGCAAUUGCAUCACUCAAAGAUGAUCCCGCGUUGUAUUAGCUAGUUGGUGAGGUAAAGGCUCACCAAGGCGAUGAUACAUAGCCGACCUGAGAGGGUGAUCGGCCACAAUGGGACUGGGGCACGGCCCAAGCCCCUACGGGAGGCAGCAGUAGGGAAACAUCGGACAUGGACGAAAGGCUGACCGAGCAACGCCGGGGGAGGGAAGAAGGGUUUCGGAUCGUAAAACUCUGUUGGUAGAGAAGAAAGUUGGUGAGAGUGGAAAGCUCAUCAAGUGACGGUAACUACCCAGAAAGGGACGGCUAACUACGUG
rnacentral:rRNA from 1 species